rnacentral:rRNA from 1 species
GACGGAGGGUGCUAGCGUUGUUCGGAAUCACUGGGCGUAAAGGGCGCGUAGGCGGCCCUGCAAGUCGGUUGGUGAAAGCCCGGGGCUCAACCCCGGAGGUGCGGCCGAGACUGCAGGGCUGGAGGCCGGAAGAGGAGGGUGGAAUACCCAGUGUAGAGGUGAAAUUCGUAGAUAUUGGGUGGAACACUGGUGGCGAAAGCGGCUCUCUGGUCCGGACCCGACGCUGAGGCGCGAAAGCGUGGGGAGCAAACAGG